rnacentral:lncRNA from 1 species
UCGCCCCUAUCAAUUCCACAUGGUCUCCACCCUGUGCCCAAUUUUUGUCAACAUGUGCUGGCAUCAUCUUUAUGUAUGGCUAUACAAAUUAAUCCUUAGCAGCUUUACUCCUUGCCUACAGGUCCUUUUUUUGGGGCCCAUAUGCUCCGACCAAUCCAUCAAGUCAUGCAGUUUCAGAGACGUUUUAACAUUCAAGCAGAAAUUUUAAAAACUGGCAAG